AUCAUGGCUCAGGAUGAACGCUAGCUACAGGCUUAACACAUGCAAGUCGAGGGGCAGCAUGUUGGUUGCUGCAACCAAUGAUGGCGACCGGCGCACGGGUGAGUAACGCGUAUCCAACCUUCCCCUUAGUAGAGGAUAGCCCGGCGAAAGUCGGAUUAAUACUCUAUGUUCUUCAAUGCGGACAUCUAAGUUGAAGCAAAGAUUUAUCGCUAAGGGAUGGGGAUGCGUCUGAUUAGGUUGCAGGCGGGGUAACGGCCCACCUGGCCUACGAUCAGUAGGGGUUCUGAGAGGAAGGUCCCCCACACUGGUACUGAGACACGGACCAGACUCCUACGGGAGGCAGCAGUGAGGAAUAUUGGUCAAUGGGCGCGAGCCUGAACCAGCCAAGUAGCGUGCAGGACGACUGCCCUAUGGGUUAGUAAACUGUCUUUUAUCAGGGAAUAAAGUGAGGCACGCGUGUCCUUUUUGUAUGUACCUGAUGAAUAAGGACCGGCUAAUUCCGUGCCAGCCGCCGC
rnacentral:rRNA from 1 species